rnacentral:rRNA from 1 species
AUACGUAGGGUGCAAGCGUUAAUCGGAAUUACUGGGCGUAAAGCGUGCGCAGGCGGUUUUGUAAGACAGUGGUGAAAUCCCCGGGCUCAACCUGGGAACUGCCCUUGUGACUGCAAGGCUGGAGUGCGGCAGAGGGGGAUGGAAUUCCGCGUGUAGCAGUGAAAUGCGUAGAUAUGCGGAGGAACACCGAUGGCGAAGGCAAUCCACUGGGCCUGCACUGACGCUCAUGCACGAAAGCGUGGGGAGCAAACAGGAUUAGAUACCCUGGUGGUCCACGCCCUAAACGAUGUCAACUGGUUGUUGGGGAUUUAUUUUCUCAGUAACGAAGCUAACGCGUGAAGUUGACCGCCUGGGGAGUACGGCCGCAAGGUUAAAACUCAAAUGAAUUGACGGGG